rnacentral:rRNA from 1 species
UUUGGGCCACCUCCCAUCCGUGUCUAUUAUACCCUGUUGCUUCGGCGGGCCCGCCGCUUGUCGGCCGCCGGGGGGGCGCCUUUGCCCCCCGGGCCCGUGCCCGCCGGAGACCCCAACACGAACACUGUCUGAAAGCGUGCAGUCUGAGUUGAUUGAAUGCAAUCAGUUAAAACUUUCAACAAUGGAUCUCUUGGUUCCGGCAUCGAUGAAAAACGCAGCGAAAUGCGAUAACUAAUGUGAAUUGCAGAAUUCAGUGAAUCAUCGAGUCUUUGAACGCACAUUGCGCCCCCUGGUAUUCCGGGGGGCAUGCCUGUCCGAGCGUCAUUGCUGCCCUCAAGCCCGGCUUGUGUGUUGGGUCGCCGUACCCCUCUCCGGGGGAACGGGCCCGAAAGGGAGCCGCGGGACCGCGUCCGAUCCUCGAGCGUAUGGGGCUUUGUCACAUGCUCUGUAGGAUUGGCCGGCGCCUGCCAACGUUUUCCAACCAUUUUUUCCAGGUUGACCUCGGAUCAGGUAGGGAUACCCGCUGAACUUAUCCAUAUCAAUAA